AUUGAACGCUGGCGGAAUGCUUUACACAUGCAAGUCGAACGGCAGCACGGACUUCGGUCUGGUGGCGAGUGGCGAACGGGUGAGUAAUGUAUCGGAACGUGCCCAGUCGUGGGGGAUAACGUAGUGAAAAUUACGCUAAUACCGCAUACGAUCUAUGGAUGAAAGCGGGGGAUCGCAAGACCUCGCGCGAUUGGAGCGGCCGAUAUCAGAUUAGGUAGUUGGUGGGGUAAAGGCCCACCAAGCCAACGAUCUGUAGCUGGUCUGAGAGGACGACCAGGCACACUGGGACUGAGACACGGUCCAGAAUCCUACGGGGGGCAGCAGUGGUGAAUUUUGGACAAUGGGCGAAAGCCUGAUCCAGCCAUUCCGCGUGCAGGAUGAAGGCCCUCGGGUUGUAAACUGCUUUUGUACAGAACGAAAAGGUUUCUACUAAUACUAGGAGCUCAUGACGGUACUGUAAGAAUAAGCACCGGCUAACUACGUGCCAGCAGCCGCAGUAA
rnacentral:rRNA from 1 species